CCUACGGGAGGCAGCAGUGAGGAAUAUUGGUCAAUGGGCGCGAGCCUGAACCAGCCAAGUAGCGUGAAGGAUGACUGCCCUACGGGUUGUAAACUUCUUUUAUAUGUGACUAAAAUGUUCCACGUGUGGGAUUUUGUCUGUACCAUAUGAAUACGGAUCGGCUAACUCCGUGCAAGCAGCCGCGGUAAUACGGAGGAACCGAGCGUUAUCCGGAUUUAUUGGGUUUAAAGGGAUCGUAGGUGGAUUGGUAAGUCAGUUGUGAAAGUUUGCGGCUCAACCGUAAAAUUGCAGUUGAAACUGGCAGUCUGGAGUACAGUAGAGGUGGGCGGAAUUCGUGGUGUAGCGGUGAAAUGCUUAGAUAUCACGAAGAACUCCGAUUGCGAAGGCAGCUCACUGGACUGCAACUGACACUGAGGCUCGAAAGUGUGGGUAGCAAACAGGAUUAGAUACCCCGGUAGUC
rnacentral:rRNA from 1 species